rnacentral:misc_RNA from 1 species
GAUGGUGAUCGGUUCAGAGAUUGGUUGAUGUAUUGCAAUUGCAGAUGAGCGGAGGAUGCUGUUAUAAAAAGAAAACUGACGCAUGAAGGCCAAAAUGAAUACAAUAACACUGGAUACAUUAAGCGGCAUUCUGUAACACAGGACAAGAUUAUUAACGAUAUUUAACGUCAACUAUUUUCAUGAGUUUUACCUCGAUCUAUAUUCAUAAAAAACUGCAAGGGUUACAGCUAUGAAGCUGGUAAACAAUGGAGAGAUAAUCGAUAUCUUAUAAUACAGAGCUAAAAUGUUUAUUUGUUAAACAAAUGAUUCACUACAAUUUGUAAGAGCAUUGAAAUCGAAUGAUAAUAAUUUAUUAAUGCUAAAAUGUUUAAUUCAUUUUGACUAACAAUGGAAAAUAUAUUUCUGUAUAUAAGAUUGUAACUCUUAGUUUUCUGCAGUAUGUCAUGUACUUUGAAACAUUAAUAUAGGUUGCAUACUUCUCUAAAAUCAUACAAAAUCUGAGUGUAUCUAGGAGAAUUAGUCUGUAUACACUAACUAUUGGUAAAAAAACCCCCAAAAAACUUAUCAUAUUGGAAACAAUAUAAUUAUGUCGGAAAGAUCACAGAUUUUACAUAACAGUGAAAAGGAGCGCAAUUCUGGUUUCAAUGAGCAGAGUAACUUUUACCGUUCAGUAGAUAAGGAUUUGAAUGCUUGUAAUGAUAGUUCCAUUAGUACAACAGAUGAUGAUUCCAGUUCCUUAAUUAACACAACAGAAGCAAAAAAUAAUGCAGAAUCUACGAAGUGUACUGUUGGUUUUCUUUUAGUCAAUGCAACAGUAGGUAUUGGUAUAAUAAAUCUUCCUGAAGCAUAUCAACAAGUAGACAAUUUAGCGUUAGCCAUCAGCAUCCAUUGCAUUAUUUGUGGUUGUUCGUUCAUUUCAAUGUUUAUUGUAGCAUAUGCCUCAGAUAAAACCCAAAGAUCAAGUUAUCAAGAUAUUAUGUUUGAUUUCUAUGGAGAGAAAGGUCGUGCGUUGACAUCUGUAUUUAUUUUUGUUAGUAUAUAUCUUUACUGCACCAGUUUAAUGGUAUUGAUUGGUGACCAAAUAGAAGAAUUUACCAUUUUCCUCGACCAUAACUUUUACUGCAAUCAUCAUGUAUGGUAUACACGAAGAGAGUUCGUAACAGUAAUUAUUAUGAUAAUCCUCCUACCAUUCUGCUUUCACAAAUUUAUUAACUAUCUGAAAUAUAUCAGUACUGUCGGUACUGCAGCAUUUCUGUAUGUCAGCUUAUUGGUUUUUGUGAAAUAUACACAAACACAUUCACCUUCUAGUCCAGUUAAAACGCCACAUGAACGCAGCAAAGCUAUCAUAUAUUUCAUUAUAGAUGUUUUGGUUUGCUACGAGGCACAAGUAAGUUCUGUUCCAAUCUACUCCAGUAUGAAGCAUCGAAAUUUGCGGUCAUAUACCAAGGUCCUGUGCGGAGCUUUUGCUCUCGCUACGUUCUUUUACAUGCUGAUGGGAGUCUUUGGAUCAUUGUCGUUCGGCUCUGAAGUGCACAGUGAUAUCCUCCUUUCAUACAAAAACCCAGACGUACCAGUAUUGAUAGCAGUCAUCCUACUUGCUGUCAAGGGAAUUAGCAGCUACACAAUUAUAUUCUUUCCAGGAAGGUAUUUUUCAGAUCUGCUGUCCGGAGCUUAUGGUGUCAAUACUGGAAAUUUUCCGAUGAAGAAACAGAACGAAAAGAAAAUAUUCAUACUAUCGUAAUUACAUCGUUCUGGAUCGCCUCUAAUACUUUGAUGGCUAUGUUAUUAUCAAAUAUUAGAUAUUUUAUCUCAUUUUUGGGACCAUUCGCCUCUACCCUUACGUUUAUACUCCCAGCUAUCUGCCUCUACCGUUACACCAAAGAUAGAGGGAAUAAAAAAGAAUGGAAAUACAA